CGGGGUGUGGCUCAGCUUGGCUAGAGCGCCUGGUUCGGGACCAGGAGGUCGCAGGUUCAAAUCCUGUCACCCCGAC
rnacentral:tRNA from 1 species